GGGCCAUAGAGGGCCGCAGGUCCAGGGCCAUAGGGAGCCAAGGAUGUGAUGCUAUAGGGAAACGGGGAUCCAAGGCCAUGGGGAAGCCGGGGGGGACACCAUAAGGAACUGAGGAUCCAACACCACAGAGAAUGGUGAUGUGAUGUCAUGGGGAACCGAGGAGUGAUUCUAUGGGGAAGCGGGGAUCUGGGGCCAUGGGGAGCCAGGGAGUCGGGGCCAUGGGGAGACAGGGAUUCAAGGCCAUAGGGAGCCAUAGGGAGCCAUAGGGAGCCAUAAGGGAGCCAUAGGGAGCCAUAAGGGAGCCAUAGGGAUCUGAUGCCGUGGGGAAGCAGGGAUCUGAUGCCAUAGGGAAGCAGGGAGCCAGGGCCAUAGGGAACCAAGGAUGUGAUGCUAUAGGGAAAUGGGGAUCCAAGGCCAUGGGGAAGCCGGGGGGGACACCAUAAGGAACUGAGGAUCCAACACCACAGAGAAUGGUGAUGUGAUGUCAUGGGGAACCGAGGAGUGAUUCUAUGGGGAGGCGGGGAUCUGGGGCCAUGGGGAGCCAGGGAGUCGGGGCCAUAGGGAGACAGGGAUCCAAGGCCAUAGGGAGCCAUAGGGAGUCAUAGGGAGCCAUUGGGAGCCAUAGGGCGCCAUAGGGAGCCAUAGGGAUCUGAUGCCGUGGGGAAGCAGGGAUCUGAUGCCAUAGGGAAGCAGGGAUCUGAUGCCAUAGGGAAGCAGGGAUCCAAGGCCAUAGGGAUCCACAGGGAGCCAUUGGGAGCCAUAGGGCGCCAGGGAUCCAAGGCCAUAGGGAGCCAUAAGGGAGCCAUUGGGAGCCAUAGGGCGCCAUAGGGAGCCAUAGGGAUCUGAUGCCAUAGGGAAGCAGGGAUCCAAGGCCAUAGGGAUCCACAGGGAGCCAUUGGGAGCCAUAGGGAGCCAUUGGGAGCCAUAGGGGAGCCAUGGGGAGCCAUGGGGAGCCAUAGGGGAGCCAUAGGGGAGCCAUAGGGAUCUGAUGCCGUGGGGAAGCAGGGAUCUGAUGCCAUAGGGAAGCAGGGAGCGUGGGCCAUAGGGAGCCAAGGCCAUAGGGAGCCAGGGAUCUGGUGUCAUAGGGAGCCACAGGGAGCCAUAGGGAGUCAUAGGGAGCCACAGGGGGCCAGGGAUCUGGUGCCAUAGGGAACCACAGGUCCAGGGCCAUAGGGAGCCAUAAGGAGCCAUAGGGAGCCAAGGAUCUGGUGCCAUAGGGAGCCACAGAUCUAAGGCCAUACGGGCCACAGGUCCAGGGCCAUAGGGAGCCCAGGAUCUGGUGCCAUAGGGAACUAGGGGGCCAGGGCCAUAGGGAGCCAGGGAUCCCAUGCCAUGGGGAAGCAGGGAUCUGAUACCAUAGGGAAGCAGGGAGCCAGGGCCAUAGGGAGCUAAGGCCAUAGGGAGCCACAGGGGGCCAUAGGGAGCCACAGGGGGCCACGGAUCUGGUGCCAUAGGGAACCACAGGUCCAGGGCCAUAGGGAGCCAGGGCCAUAGGGAGCCAUAAGGAGCCACAGGGGGUCAGGGAACUGGUACCAUAGGGAACCACAGGUCCGGGGCCAUAGGGAGCCAAGGAUCCAACGCCGUGGGGAAGCAGGGAUCUGAUGCCAUAGGGAACCACAGAUCUAGGGCCAUAUGGAGCCACAGGUCCAGGGCCAUAGGGAAGCAGGGAUCUGAUGCCAUAGGGAACCAGGGAGCGUGGGCCAUAGGGAGCCAUAAGGAGCCAUAGGGGGUCAGGGAUCUGGUGCCAUAGGGAGCCAAGGAUCCAACGCCGUGGGGAAGCAGGGAUCUGAUGCCAUAGGGAACCACAGAUCUAGGGCCAUAUGGAGCCACAGGUCCAGGGCCAUAGGGAGCCAGGGAGCCGGGGCCACAGGGAGUCCAGGAUCUGGUGCCAUAGGGAGCCAGGGAUCUG
ensembl:lncRNA